UCGGAGCUGUGUAUAAGAGAAAGUAGGUGGACAAAAGUAGAAAGGGCUUGUUUUUAUGGUAGAUUUUCUGUAAAAAUCCUAAAUGUUCCUUUUUAGUCUAGCCACAAGUAUCUAUGUACAGAUGACUCUUCUGUUUUCCUCACUGACUAUGCUGUAACACUGAAAUGGGUUAAAGAAAACAAAACUCUGCCUUUUGCUCUAUGGAAAGUUACCAGUCCAUAGGAUGUUAAGCUGUGUGUUUAUUUCCACUCUGAAAACACACAGCUCUGCUCUGGAUACCCUUUCUGGAAGGUAGAAAGCUCCUAGGUACGUAUGGCACCUUGCAGGGCUUUGUCAUACACGGCUGGCAGACUUGCCCAAGUCUUCAGAUGGCCUGGGUUGUACGUACAGCAUCCUUUCUCCCAAAUAGGGGAUCUGGAAUAAGUCCACUGAUAGUGAUGGUAGAUACAUUAAUUUUUAAAACUGUAAAGUAAAUGUGGUCUCUAGUCCUAGGUUUGUGGUGUGUUCAUUUGUGUUAAUGUGCAGGGAAGGGACAUUGACUUGAUGGUUAUGGGGAGUAUAUCUUGAUGUGUGUACAGGGGUGAGUAUUGCUAAAUUAUUAACAGCUUUUCAUUUAGGGGUGAGUCAUGUGAUGAGUGGCCUAAUCAGCAAAAUGAAGGAGCAAAGAUGCAAGCUUUGCCCAGUGAUGAAGUAAACAAGGUUUUGUAUCUGUCUUUUAUCAGGUGUUGUAAAACUUGCGCAUGGCUUUUUUUGUUGUGGCUUCUUAGUAAUUGGUGGAGGAGAAAAGAUGAGGAAAACCCCUCAGCUUUGCUAACCACUCUUUUCAGAGGUACAUCGUUGGGGAGUAAAAUCUGACUGGCCUAAUGUGUUGAAAAGAUCCUAUCCUUUAUAAUAUUCACCCCAUCCUGUAAUCCUCCGCAUCGAGGAACUACAUUGUUGUAUUCUAGUAAUUCACUGUGAUUUAUAACAAACCAGUGAUGUCAUUCUCUUGUGCACUUUUGUCAAACCAUUUACGUGACUUUAAUAAACAUAGUGAACUUGCUGACUGCACCAGAGGUCUGUUAGUGAUUAUAUUGCAUGACAUUGUCUAUUUGAGUUUGACAUGUAGAAUCAUUUUUAAUUUCGUGGCAAUUGACAGUCCUAAUAGCCCAGCUAAUUUGAAACUAACAAUAUUGCUGUGUAAAAGGAAAAAAAAAACCGGUGUUUGUGUUCAGUAAAUGUUU